GAUGAACGCUGGCGGCGUGCCUAAUACAUGCAAGUCGAGCGAAUGGAUUAAGAGCUUGCUCUUAUGAAGUUAGCGGCGGACGGGUGAGUAACACGUGGGUAACCUGCCCAUAAGACUGGGAUAACUCCGGGAACCCGGGGCUAAUACCGGAUAACAUUUUGAACCGCAUGGUUCGAAAUUGAAAGGCGGCUUCGGCUGUCACUUAUGGAUGGACCCGCGUCGCAUUAGCUAGUUGGUGAGGUAUCGGCUCACCAAGGCAACGAUGCGUAGCCGACCUGAGAGGGUGAUCGGCCACACUGGGACUGAGACACGGCCCAGACUCCUACGGGAGGCAGCAGUAGGGAAUCUUCCGCAAUGGACGAAAGUCUGACGGAGCAACGCCGCGUGAGUGAUGAAGGCUUUCGGGUCGUAAAACUCUGUUGUUAGGGAAGAACAAGUGCUAGUUGAAUAAGCUGGCACCUUGACGGUACCUAACCAGAAAGCCACGGCUAACUACGUGCCAGCCGCCGCCGUAA
rnacentral:rRNA from 1 species